GAUUUGGUCGCGAUCAGCGAUGGAGAAACUGGCGUCGGUCUAGCUGCAGGAUUUUAAUGAAGACUCCCACCGGUACCCUGACAUGAACAUAUAAAUUUUUCGAGCCUCGAAACCAGCCUCGCUUAUGAUCAUGCCGAGUCAUAGCCGUGAUGAAAGUUGCCAGAAAACAACAGGUUAACUUAUCAUCUUAAAGUAAAUAGGCUUAUAACUCUGCCUACAUUUUUUCACUUCCAAUUUCAUAGAACUUUAUUUUAUAAAUUCGCCAUACAGAAGUUGCAGACGGUAUUUAAAACUGUAUAAAAUGAAACAACAGAACGGUAUGUUUAAUGUUUCUCUUUUAUAAAUUGAUGAAAUUCUUGUUUGUUUACAAAAUAAACUCUGUAUAAAUAU